rnacentral:rRNA from 1 species
UACGGAGGAUCCGAGCGUUAUCCGGAAUUAUUGGGUUUAAAGGGUGCGCAGGCGGGGAUCUAAGUCAGGGGUGAAAGACGGUGGCUCAACCAUCGCAGUGCCUUUGAUACUGGAUUUCUUGAAUGUACCUGAGGUAGGCGGAAUGUGGCAAGUAGCGGUGAAAUGCAUAGAUAUGCCACAGAACACCGAUUGCGAAGGCAGCUUACCAAAGUACGAUUGACGCUGAGGCACGAAAGCGUGGGGAUCGAACAGGAUUAGAUACCCUGGUAGUCCACGCCCUAAACGAUGAACACUCGAUGUCGGCGAUAGACAGUCGGCGUCCAAGCGAAAGCGUUAAGUGUUCCACCUGGGGAGUACGCCCGCAAGGGUGAA